CUUUGAUCAUCACUUUCUCUGCUGCAUCCCCACUGUCUCUGUGCAUUGGUCUGUUACUGCACAGUGGGCACACAAACGUGUUGGUCCUAUAACACCACUGAGUCUAGGGUCCAAAUCCUCCUAGCCCCUGAGAGAGGAGGAAGUUCCUUCUCCCUGGGACCAAGAGCCAAGCUCAGAUCCUGCCCCAGUGUGAACCCUCUUCCAGGCUGGUUUGAG
rnacentral:lncRNA from 1 species